rnacentral:lncRNA from 1 species
GGCGGGACGCGCGCCGGGGCACGGCCGGGCCGGGCGGGGGUGCGGAGAGGCGCGGAGCGGCGUUUGAAGGUCCCCCUCCACCGCCAUUUUGAAGGGGAGAGGGGCGAGCGCGAGGCGCUCGGUGGGCUCGGGCCCCCCGCGGGCGCGGGGCGAGGAGCGGCGGAGGCGCGGGGCGCACAAAGUUCCCGCGGGGCCGUUCGGGCGGGGCGAGGCGGGGCGGGCGCGGGGAGCGCAACUCGGGGCCGGGCGUGCCGCGGGACGGGGCUCCUAGCGGGAGCGCGCCGAGUUGCGCGCCGGGCAGCCCCGCGCAUCGCUCCGCGACGCGACCGGAGGGGCGCUGCUCCCCCCGCGCUGCCGCCUCCCCGCCGCGCCUGCCUCCUGCCUCCUCCUCCUCCUCCUCCCUUUUCCUUUUCCUUCUCCUUCUCCUCCCUCCUCCUCCUCCUCCUUCCUCGCCGCCUUUUUUUUCCCCGCAUCCAAACUUCGGGAGCCCGGAAAAACCCCGCGGGCCCCGCGCUCCGCCGGCAAAACGUCCCCACCAGCUGCGGGCCGACCCGCUCCGCCCGCCGGCGGACACCGCCGCCCCCCGCCUCACCUGCGGAGAGUUUUUCCAGCCCUCCGCCGUUCCCGGGGCUCCGGCUCCCCGGCGCUCCGCUCGCCGCCUCAUUCCAAUAUGGCACGGCCCGGCAGAGCGCAUGCGCCCGCCGCUGCCUCUCCCCCCCCGCCCCUCCGCCCUCCUCUCCUCUCCCCUCCCCUCGCGGCUUUUCGGGCGCUCCGGGUCUCUCCCGAACCCGCCGCCUUUCCCCCGUCGCGGCCCGGCUGCCCCCCGUUCACCUGCUCCGGCCGCUAACGGAAGCCGGGCGGCGGCGGGGAGAACCGACGGCUCGGCGCGUCCUUCCCGGGGGCGAGCCAAGCUCCGCUCGCCCCCGGGAGGAACGCGCUCCGCGGGCGCAGCGAUGCCCGCAGCAUCCCGCGGCUCUCGCAGCGCUCCGCACAAAGCCUCCGGGCACGGGCCGUCCGCUGGAGGGGGGUCUCGCCGUGCGGGAUCGGGGUCCCGGGAUCCCCGUCGCUCCCUCACGUUAA